UGAAUAUUCUAAUUCUAUACAGAAAUAAAAAAUAUAAAAAAUAUUUUUCCCUUUUAUAAUAGGUACGUGUGUAAAUUCAGUAUUUUUUUGUUUUUAUUUAAUACUCUCACACACUUAAAUUUUUACUGAAUUUUUUAAUAAUCACUACGCGCCGAUAUCGUUUAAUAAUCGCUAAAGCAAAUCACAAUUAAAUUAUUAUACCAAAUAAAAACUGCACGGUAUA